rnacentral:rRNA from 1 species
UGGGGAAUAUUGGACAAUGGGCGCAAGCCUGAUCCAGCCAUGCCGCGUGAGUGAUGAAGGCCUUAGGGUUGUAAUGCUCUUUUUGGCGGGGAAGAUAAUGACGGUACCCGCAGAAUAAGCUCCGGCUAACUUCGUGCCAGCAGCCGCGGUAAUACGAAGGGAGCUAGCGUUGUUCGGAAUCACUGGGCGUAAAGCGCACGUAGGUGGGCAGUUAAGUCAGGGGUGAAAGCCCGAGGCUCAACCUCGGAAUUGCCUCUGAUACUGGCUGUCUAGAGUUCGAGAGAGGUGAGUGGAAUUCCUAGUGUAGAGGUGAAAUUCGUAGAUAUUAGGAAGAACACCGGUGGCGAAGGCGGCUCACUGGCUCGAUACUGACACUGAGGUGCGAAAGCGUGGGGAGCAAACAGGAUUAGAUACCCCCGUAGUCCCUGAGCGGGCUGGCAAGGCGCAU